UUAAGACAUCCAUACAUCUCAUGGAAGAGCUGUCCGGAGUCUAGACAACACAGAAAGUGGUCAUUUUGGUCUUUUGGAACUUUAAAUAGUUCCCAUCACUUCCUGGAUUUACUUUGGCUACAGACGUCUUCUCCAUAUAAACCCAAGAUGGCCACUAAUACUGAAUAAUACAUGAUUCCACAUACCUCCAGGCUCAUAAAUAUUCAGAGUGCUCAGACUACUUCUAAAGUAUAUAUAUUUAGUCAAGAGAACAACAGCUUCAGUGCUGCCCAGAAAAGCUAUGCUCCACGCUUGUGCCUCAUUCACAAUGGCUUCCUGGUGAAGAAUCCAGAUUUUAUUGGAGGAGGUAAUGAAGUCACCUAAAGUAUUUCAUUUUCUAGUACUCUUGGUCAAUUGUCGACAAAAGUAUCGUGUGGGCUCUCUCUGCCAAAAAGAAGCUGACUCAGCUGCUUCCUGGACUGUGAACAAAGUGGCAGAAAUUUGAGAAGUCAACUUGGACUAUGAGAUGACCUUGGGGAUAGAAGCCACAAACUAGGAGGUAGAACAGAAAGAUGGAAGGAACAUGAGCCCUGAGUACUCUGGAACCUGCAAAGUUUUGCCUAAAUACUCCAGAUUCCCUUUGCCUGAGAGAAAAGUAAACUUUUAUUUUCUUUAA